rnacentral:rRNA from 1 species
CAACAUGUUGUUCAACGUGCUUCAAGAAGGCCAAUUUAUGUUGAAGCUUCUGAAGGUGAAGAAUAUGAUGAUGCCCUUGAAGAACCAAAUCUCUAUGCAUACCAGAGAGCACCCAAUCCUACAUAUGCAAGAGAUACAUACAAGGUCAAAGCUGAUAUCCCAAGUUUUAAUGGAAAUGUUGACAUUGAAGGGUGCCUGGAUUGGUUAUAUGAAAUGGAGACUUUCUUUGAGGUCAUGGAGGUUCCGGAAGAUCGUAAAGUUCCUUUGGUCACAUACAAGCUGAAAGGAGGAGCCGGUGCAUGGUGGCAUCGCGUUCAAGAGGAGCGCAGGCUGAGAGGAGAACCUCGUGUUAGAACUUGGCGACAAAUGAAAGGCCUCUUAAAAGGGAGAUUUUUGCCCGCUGAUUAUGACCAUAUCCUAUUUAUCCAAUUUCAAAAUUGUGCUCAAGGAAAUAGGACUGUUUCAGAUUACACGGAGGAGUUUCUAAGGCUACAAGUGAGGUGCAACCUUGCUGAAACUAAAGAGCAACAAGUUGCAAGGUACAUCAAUGGUCUCGAUGAUGCUAUUCAAGAUUGA